GGGGACGAUGAGUUGACUUUUGCUGAUGGAGCCUCUCUGAAGGGCAAAUUCAAAGUACAGCUGGGUGCUGCAGCACUGGAGUGCGAACUUGUGGCUGUGGUUAUGAAGGAGCCUCGUCAGCUAUGCCUUUAGCCCCUGGUGAAGCAGUGCCAGUCACACUUUGCCAGUCAAACGGAGAGGCAGCAGUAGUAAGACCAGACCAAAUCAAACCAAACCAAGCAAACCACGGGGAAUGGAGAUUAUUGCCUGCUCCUCCAAGCCCUUCACUGUAGAAUGGAAGCCUGUGAUUUUCCUGGCAUCAUGCAUGACUGAGAAGGUCAGUGUGGCUAAUUCUGAGCUUCAACAUCAGGAAACCCGUAGUUCUUCACACUGAGCCGCCUCCUGCAGCACAGUCAUCCUUGGUAAUAAAGCUGAUA
rnacentral:lncRNA from 1 species